GCCUGGAUAGCUCAGUUGGUUAGAGUGUGGUGCUGAUAACGACAAGGUCGCAGGUUUGAUCCCCAUAUGAGAAAGCU